AAGGGUAUAGCUCAGCGGUAGGGUACAUGCUUCGCAUGCACAAGGUACUGGGUUCAAGUCCCAGUACCUCCG
rnacentral:tRNA from 1 species